rnacentral:rRNA from 1 species
CCUACGGGCGGCAGCAGUGGGGAAUAUUGGACAAUGGGGGGAACCCUGAUCCAGCCAUGCCGCGUGUGUGAAGAAGGCCCUCGGGUUGUAAAGCACUUUCAGUGAGGAAGAACGCCUGGUGGUUAAUACCCAUCAGGAAAGACAUCACUCACAGAAGAAGCACCGGCUAACUCCGUGCCAGCAGCCGCGGUAAUACGGAGGGUGCGAGCGUUAAUCGGAAUUACUGGGCGUAAAGCGCGCGUAGGUGGCUUGAAAAGCCGGUUGUGAAAGCCCCGGGCUCAACCUGGGAACGGCAUCCGGAACUGUCAAGCUAGAGUGCAGGAGAGGAAGGUAGAAUUCCCGGUGUAGCGGUGAAAUGCGUAGAGAUCGGGAGGAAUACCAGUGGCGAAGGCGGCCUUCUGGACUGACACUGACACUGAGGUGCGAAAGCGUGGGUAGCAAACAGGAUUAGAUACCCUUGUAGUC